UACGGGGGGGGCAAGCGUUGUUCGGAAUUACUGGGCGUAAAGGGCUCGUAGGCGGCCAACUAAGUCGGAUGUGAAAUCCCCAGGCUUAACCUGGGAACUGCGUCUGAUACUGGAUGGCUUGAGUUCGGGAGAGGGAUGCGGAAUUCCAGGUGUAGCGGUGAAAUGCGUAGAUAUCUGGAGGAACACCGGUGGCGAAGGCGGCAUCCUGGACCGAUACUGACGCUGAUGAGCGAAAGCCAGGGGAGCAAACGGG
rnacentral:rRNA from 1 species